rnacentral:misc_RNA from 1 species
UAAAAACUUAGUUGAGUUGAGUAUCAAAGUAUUAACAGGGACAAUGCCUCUUUGCUUGUAUAAUUCCAUAUUCUAUCAAAUUAAACUAAUUUUCUCAUGUUUUCUCUUUAUUUCAGUUUUUAUCACGCAAUGAGUCUUCCAGCACUGAAAUUUCGUGUAAACUGCAAUCCAUGGCUGUUGAUCAUGAACAGAACACUUCCUCUUCUCAGCCUGCUGAAAGUAUUAUUCUUCAGAAUAUGUCUCAUAGAAGUUCCAUUAGUGAUUCUUCAUGCAACCACCCUACAUUGUCAGCUAUUUUAGCAAUGGAUUCUGUAGCA